rnacentral:rRNA from 1 species
GUGGGGGAUAUUGCGCAAUGGGGGCAACCCUGACGCAGCAACGCCGCGUGAAGGAUGAAGGUUUUCGGAUUGUAAACUUCUUUUAUUAAGGACGAAAAAUGACGGUACUUAAUGAAUAAGCUCCGGCUAACUACGUGCCAGCAGCCGCGGUAAUACGUAGGGAGCAAGCGUUGUCCGGAUUUACUGGGUGUAAAGGGUGCGUAGGCGGCUUUGCAAGUCAGAUGUGAAAUCUAUGGGCUCAACCCAUAAACUGCAUUUGAAACUGUAGAGCUUGAGUGAAGUAGAGGCAGGCGGAAUUCCCCGUGUAGCGGUGAAAUGCGUAGAGAUGGGGAGGAACACCAGUGGCGAAGGCGGCCUGCUGGGCUUUAACUGACGCUGAGGCACGAAAGCGUGGGUAGCAAACAGGAUUAGAAACCCGUGUAGUCCC